AACGAACGCUGGCGGCAUGCCUAACACAUGCGAGUCGAACGAGACCUUCGGGUCUAGUGGCGCACGGGUGCGUAACGCGUGGGAACCUGCCCUUAGGUUCGGAAUAACUCCCCGAAAGGGGUGCUAAUACCGGAUAAUGUCUUCGGACCAAAGAUUUAUCGCCUUUGGAUGGGCCCGCGUUGGAUUAGCUAGUUGGUAGGGUAAAAGCCUAUCAAGGCGACGAUCCAUAGCUGGUCUGAGAGGAUGAUCAGCCACACUGGGACUGAGACACGGCCCAGACUCCUACGGGAGGCAGCAGUGGGGAAUAUUGGACAAUGGGCGAAAGCCUGAUCCAGCAAUGCCGCGUGAGUGAUGAAGGCCUUAGGGUUGUAAAGCUCUUUUACCCGGGAUGAUAAUGACAGUACCGGGAGAAUAAGCUCCGGCUAACUCCGU
rnacentral:rRNA from 1 species